CAAAUGUUUUUUUUUUUUUUAUUCGUAGUUAUACUAUAUGUAAACUUGCCACCCCCGCAACUAGACAUGAACAUUGUUGUAUGAUCAUGAAAGCUAAUCUACUCGAGCUUCACUUACAAUGACAUACACAGUACACGUGUUUCCUACCUUAAAAGAGGGAAGGCACAAAAAGAGGAAAAAAAAAAUCCAGAACUUACAUGGGCCUGUACAUCUCUUCUUCUCUAUGACGACAAAAUUAGAAUACCCAUGGAGACAGGACAAAAGAAAAAAAAGAAAAAGAAGAUACAAUGGAAAUUUACAAGACCAAGUUUAACACUGGUAAACCGAAUAGCUCUUGCUCUUCCAAAAAAAGCUUAAAGCUUUCCCCAUCCUCCUCCUGGAGACCGAUUUACAUAGUGGCUUUGAUUCCUGACUUGGCAUUGCCUUGGAACUACUUUCAGCCCGUUGAAAGCGCACCUCAGCAGGUGGUUGAGGUUGAUCCCGUUGCCGUUGCUCCCGGAAUAGCAUUAGAAGUUUCUGUGCCUUAUCUUUCCCUCUUGUGGUACCAUUUACUGAGAUAGAGACCAAUGCAGGUAUAACCCCUUCUUGAAGGACCAUUUGACUGCACUUUUCACUGCCGUUGCACAAAAUGUAAAGGCAUGAGGCAGCUUGCUCCUGCUCAAUGGGUUCACCCGUGUCCAAUAUUGUUGCUAGCGCACCAAUAAGGCCAGGGGCUGCUACCAUUUCAUCUUUUCCUGAUUUAUUUGUAGCUAAAUUUAUCAACACUGCUAUGGAUUUUUCCGUCCACUCAAGGUCUCCAGGGGCUGCAAGAAGACAUUGGAGGCCACUGAUGAUGCCAGCAGAAAGGAGGCUCAGAAUAUGGGAGGCCUUGGAGGAGAGAUUAUAGAGGGUAUGGAGGGCAUCCAUCUUGCAUUGAGGUUCAGCUUCACCUUGAAGAAUCUGGACUAAAAAGGGAACAGCCUGACUUGAGCCAAUUAUGGACUUUGCAUCUUCAUGGCAGGAGAGAUUCAAAUAGAGGGCUGUUGCUGAUCCAUGGGAAUCAGAGUUGGAGAUCAUCAUCUCCAGCAAUGGGAUAACACCUGCAGCCAGCAUCAUUUCCUUGUUUCUGUUAUUGUUGACAGCAAGGUUAAAGAGAGCCAUAGCUCCACUUUCCUGAGCCACUGCAUCCCUUGCAUGCACAGCUGACUCCAGGAACUGCAACAGUUCUUCAACAAACCCAUUAGCCCCCAUACAAAUCCUGGCCUCCUCAUCAUCUUUUAGCAGAAGCCUUAUUUUUUCUACUACCUUGCACUUUUUCCUCAAGUCUUUCUCUUCAUUUAAGAUGUUCAAAAAAUUCUGGUACCUUUGAAACAUAUCAUGCGUAACGUCUUCUUCCUGUGGAGAUUUUUCCUCCUCUGGAGUUGAACUUUCCAUUUCAUGUUGUUCAGCCUCCUCAAUGGUACCACUCUCUAAAGGAACUACCUUCAUACCUUUCAAUUUGCCAGAGCUGAUGCUGUCCACUGAUUUUGAAUUUGCAGACUCCGACUGACACAAUGACAGCCUAAAGUAGUUGAGAUCAAGAGAAUCUGGGGGGCCAUCAGGGACUGGAACUCCAUUCUGUUCACACCAACUAGUGACAAGACCCUUGACACAAUAAUUAGGAGUCAAACACAGAUGAGAGAGCUUCUGUUGAGUCUUUGGGCAGGUGUCAUGCCCAUCACUGAACCAUUUCUCAAUGCAGAUCCUCUCGUAUGUUUGUCCAGAUGCAAUGAUUACUGGAUCAUACAUUAGCUGCAAUGAUAUUGGACACCUUAAUUCUUCUGGAGGAACAGCUAUCUGGUCAGAUUUCCUAUUGUUUGGCUUGAAAUUGAAAGAACUAAGCUUCGACAACUGUCGCUCAAAGGCAUGGCCAUCACCAGCAUCCACAAAAGAACCCUGAACUGUGGGUGAACAAGGUGUUGAACCCUGUGAAUCAUUGUCAUCUGUGAGCUCACUUCUAAAUAACUUGGAGUAUUUCCUCAUCAGAUGUAAGAGAUAAGCCACAAUUGAUUCCUUCCGCUUGUCUUCCUCUACCCGAGCUCUUUCUAUAAGUUUCUUAAGAGCCCUUCUCUCUGCAAGAGCUGCUCUCGAAGAAGUAAUACCAAGUUUAGUGGCUGCCUGAUGAAAAGAUUCUAGCUCAUUAUUGUCAUUACAGUCAUCAAAUUUUCUCCCUUGCUGAAGCAAUGCAAUUACUUCAUCACCCACUUGUUUCUCUAAUGGAUCAAGUGAGAACACAAUGCCCUCCAAUUCACUUACAAUCUCCAAAAUCUGGCAUCCAAUACAUUGUGGGACAAUGUCGUAAACACGCCUAAGACUAUCUACAAGAGCAGAUCUUGCCUUUUCAAAUUUUAAAAGAACAGAAUCUCCAGUGAUAGCCAAAUAAAGCUUGCUGCAUUCUGAGCAAUGCUGAAGAAUAUUCUUGGCUUUUUCAAGUGCUAUAUGCAAUGAACAUAAUGCUUGAAUGCCAGAUUUGCUCCUGGGUCGUGCCGCUUCCAAAGAAGGAAAAAUUGACACGAUUUUGCAAUAUAUUACAGAGAGUGCCUUGCACAUUACUCCAUGUAGCUUAGCAUCACUUGCUGCAAAUAAAUUUUCUUCAACUUCAAUGAUUUCCAUAGUCCACAUUUACCAAUGAAAAUUAUAUUGCAAAUCUAUUACAACUGAAACACACAAAAGGAGAUUCAAAGAAAACUAGUUAAAAGCUAAAAGAAACUCCUCUUCCAGAUCAAACAAAAAGAAGAAUUUGCUAAGACCAAAACAAAAGGCUAAUUAAUACAGAAUUUGCAACAUCUAUUCGACAAAAUCAUUCGCGAGACGCAACUGACAUGUGAACAAGAAUUAACAAGGUUUUGAUUAAGACAUUUUAUCCAACGCCGAAAACUCAAAUACCCAAUAACGAAAAAUUUUACAAAACAAAGAGAAAGAGCAUACAAACUGAUUGAGACAUUUCAACGAACACGUAUAAGCUUAAAAGAACCCAAAAAUCAGCAUCAAAGGGAUUUUUUUUUAAUCGAAAAUGACCUACCUAGUUAAGAUCUUUUCACGAAGACAUGACCACCCAGAAAUCUCCGUCACCUCUAGAUAUUCUAAACCAGAUCAAAUAUAAAGCCUGAAUAAAGCCCAAAAUUAAAACAAUACAAAAACGCGGAUUCCCC
rnacentral:misc_RNA from 1 species